CAAAACAAAAGAGCAAAGUGUACCGGAGUCAAAUUCCUUGUUCGUAUGUACGAACUUUGCAAUAAAGCUGAUUCUGAUUCUCGCUUCCUCCAACCCUACCGGCUGUACCUUUUGGACACGAUCAAGCUGGCGGCUUCUCGCUUCCUCCAACCCCAGGACCAAGGCAUAAGCGUACUCUGUUCCUCCCUCCUUCGCAAACAUCGGCACCUGUGCUUCAUCUGGUUUGCACCAAACCAGCAGCUGAGGAGACAACUGAGCAACCUCACUUCGCAAGUUAAGACUCUGAACCUCUCUACCUCUAGUGGUUCAAGCAACAGAAAUUUAUUGGCGUUUCCAAUUCUCAUUCCUGAUUACUUUGCUGACAAUAAAAACACAUUAAACUUUA